GUACUACUCCCUCCAUCCCAAAAUUCUUAUCUUAGAUUUGUCUAGAUACGGAUGUAUCUAAUACUAAAAUGUGACUUGAUACAUCCGUAUCUAGACAAAUCUAAGACAAGAAUUCUGAGACGGAGGGAGUACAAG
rnacentral:pre_miRNA from 1 species